GUGGGUAGUUUGACUGGGGCGGUCUCCUCCCAAAGAGUAACGGAGGAGCACGAAGGUUGGCUAAUCCUGGUCGGACAUCAGGAGGUUAGUGCAAUGGCAUAAGCCAGCUUGACUGCGAGCGUGACGGCGCGAGCAGGUGCGAAAGCAGGUCAUAGUGAUCCGGUGGUUCUGAAUGGAAGGGCCAUCGCUCAACGGAUAAAAGGUACUCCGGGGAUAACAGGCUGAUACCGCCCAAGAGUUCAUAUCGACGGCGGUGUUUGGCACCUCGAUGUCGGCUCAUCACAUCCUGGGGCUGAAGUAGGUCCCAAGGGUAUGGCUGUUCGCCAUUUAAAGUGGUACGCGAGCUGGGUUUAGAACGUCGUGAGACAGUUCGGUCCCUAUCUGCCGUGGGCGCUGGAGAAUUGAGGGGGGCUGCUCCUAGUACGAGAGGACCGGAGUGGACGCAUCACUGGUGUUCGGGUUGUCAUGCCAAUGGCACU
rnacentral:rRNA from 1 species